rnacentral:rRNA from 1 species
UUCCUUGUCGGGUAAGUUCCGACCUGCACGAAUGGCAUAAUGAUGGCGGCGCUGUCUCCAGCAGAGGCUCAGUGAAAUCGAAAUCGCUGUGAAGAUGCAGUGUACCCGCGGCUAGACGGAAAGACCCCGUGAACCUUUACUGCAGCUUGACACUGAACUUUGACCUUACUUGUGUAGGAUAGGUGGGAGGCUUUGAAGCUGGAACGCUAGUUCCAGUGGAGCCGUCCUUGAAAUACCACCCUGGUAAUGUUGAGGUUCUAACUCUGUCCCGUGAUCCGGGACGAGGACCGUGUCUGGUGGGUAGUUUGACUGGGGCGGUCUCCUCCUAAAGAGUAACGGAGGAGUACGAAGGUGCGCUCAGCGUGGUCGGAAAUCACGCGUAGAGUAUAAAGGCAAAAGCGCGCUUAACUGCGAGACCCACAAGUCGAGCAGGUACGAAAGUAGGUCUUAGUGAUCCGGUGGUUCUGUAUGGAAGGGCCAUCGCUCAACGGAUAAAAGGUACUCUGGGGAUAACAGGCUGAUACCGCCCAAGAGUUCAUAUCGACGGCGGUGUUUGGCACCUCGAUGUCGGCUCAUCUCAUCCUGGGGCUGAAGCAGGUCCCAAGGGUAUGGCUGUUCGCCAUUUAAAGAGGUACGCGAGCUGGGUUUAGAACGUCGUGAGACAGUUCGGUCCCUAUCUACCGUGGGCGCUGGAAAUUUGAGAGGAUCUGCUCCUAGUACGAGAGGACCAGAGUGGACGAACCUCUGGUGUACCGGUUGUGACGCCAGUCGCAUCGCCGGGUAGCUAUGUUCGGAAGGGAUAACCGCUGAAAGCAUCUAAGCGGGAAGCCUACCUCAAGAUAAGAUUUCCCUAGGACUUUAUGUCCUCUAAAGAGCCGUUCGAGACUAGGACGUUGAUAGGUUGGAUGUGGAAGCAUAGUGAUAUGUGAAGCUGACCAAUACUAAUUGCUCGUGAGGCUUGACUAU